GACGGAAGGUGCAAGCGUUGCUCGGAAUCACUGGGCGUAAAGGGUGCGUAGGCGGCCGUGCAAGUCUGGCGUGAAAGCCCCGGGCUCAGCCCGGGAAGUGCGCUCGAAACCGCGCGGCUCGAGUGCCGGAGGGGAGAGUGGAAUUCCUGGUGUAGCGGUGAAAUGCGUAGAUAUCAGGAGGAAUACCGGUGGCGAAAGCGACUCUCUGGACGGCAACUGACGCUGAGGCACGAAAGCGUGGGGAGCAAACAGG
rnacentral:rRNA from 1 species